rnacentral:rRNA from 1 species
UGGGGAAUAUUGCACAAUGGGCGAAAGCCUGAUGCAGCAACGCCGCGUGAGUGAUGAAGGCCUUCGGGUUGUAAAGCUCUGUCUUUUGGGACGAUAAUGACGGUACCAAAGGAGGAAGCCACGGCUAACUACGUGCCAGCAGCCGCGGUAAUACGUAGGUGGCAAGCGUUGUCCGGAUUUACUGGGCGUAAAGGAUGCGUAGGCGGAUUUUUAAGUGAGAUGUGAAAACCCUAAGCUUAACUUGGGGACUGCAUUUCAUACUGGAAAUCUAGAGUGCGGGAGAGGAGAAUGGAAUUCCUAGUGUAGCGGUGAAAUGCGUAGAGAUUAGGAAGAACACCAGUGGCGAAGGCGAUUCUCUGGACCGUAACUGACGCUGAGGCAUGAAAGCGUGGGUAGCAAACAGGAUUAGAUACCCUGGUAGUCCACGCCGUAAACGAUGAGUACUAGGUGUAGGAGGUAUCGACCCCUUCUGUGCCGCAGUUAACACAAUAAGUACCCCGCCUGGGAAGUACGAUCGCAAGAUUAAAACUCAAAUGAAUUGACGGGGUCAUAGCUGUUUCCU